rnacentral:lncRNA from 1 species
AAGGUGAACUAAGUUCCAGCUUUUCAAGAUGAAGUUCACGAAACUUGGAUCAAAACCGGAUUUGUUUCCGUCCAAUGGCGAAAACACUCGGUCAGUAUGUCAUCAUUUUCUUUGGAUUACCCAUCUGCUGAUUCCGAUUAUAUGAGCAAAAUAACAAGGAUCAUGGGAAUAACUGAUGAGGCUAUAUGAUUUGUCCUUAGCGCUAUCCUGAGCACGAAUAUAUUUCAAUGAUUUUUUAUUAGUUUGUCGGUUAAUUGUAACUUAAAGGUUUACAUAAGUAAUGCAACAUUCGUUCAUUUCAAAAUUUUAUUUAGGGAUUUAUAAGUUAUAUAAUUGACAUUGAGUGAUUGGCAUCUCU